GACGAACGCUGGCGGCGUGCCUAAUACAUGCAAGUUGAGCGAUGAAGAUUGGUGCUUGCACCAAUUUGAAGAGCAGCGAACGGGUGAGUAACGCGUGGGGAAUCUGCCUUUGAGCGGGGGACAACAUUUGGAAACGAAUGCUAAUACCGCAUAAUAACUUUAAACAUAAGUUUUAAGUUUGAAAGAUGCAAUUGCAUCACUCAAAGAUGAUCCCGCGUUGUAUUAGCUAGUUGGUGAGGUAAAGGCUCACCAAGGCGAUGAUACAUAGCCGACCUGAGAGGGUGAUCGGCCACAUUGGGACUGAGACACGGCCCAAACUCCUACGGGAGGCAGCAGUAGGGAAUCUUCGGCAAUGGACGAAAGUCUGACCGAGCAACGCCGCGUGAGUGAAGAAGGUUUUCGGAUCGUAAAACUCUGUUGGUAGAGAAGAACGUUGGUGAGAGUGGAAAGCUCAUCAAGUGACGGUAACGACCCAGAAAGGGACGGCUAACUACGU
rnacentral:rRNA from 1 species